rnacentral:rRNA from 1 species
AUUGAACGCUGGCGGUAUGCUUAACACAUGCAAGUCGAACGGUAACAGGCCUUCGGGCGCUGACGAGUGGCGGACGGUGAGUAACGCGUAGGAAUCUGCCUCAUAGUGGGGACAACGUGGGGAAACUCACGCUAAUACCGCAUACGCCCUACGGGGGAAAGCGGGGGAUCUUCGGACCUCGCGCUAUGAGAUGAGCCUGCGUUAGAUUAGCUAGUUGGUAGGGUAAAGGCCUACCAAGGCGACGAUCUAUAGCUGGUCUGAGAGGACGAUCAGCCACACUGGGACUGAGACACGGCCCAGACUCCUACGGGAGGCAGCAGUGGGGAAUAUUGGACAAUGGGCGCAAGCCUGAUCCAGCAAUACCGCGUGUGUGAAGAAGGCCUUAGGG